UAUGCCUACCUUAUCAAUGUGUCCACCGA
rnacentral:piRNA from 1 species